GUGGGGAAUCUUGCGCAAUGGGCGAAAGCCUGACGCAGCCAUGCCGCGUGAAUGAUGAAGGUCUUAGGAUUGUAAAGCUCUUUCACCGGAGAAGAUAAUGACGGUAUCCGGAGAAGAAGCCCCGGCUAACUUCGUGCCAGCAGCCGCGGUAAUACGAAGGGGGCUAGCGUUGUUCGGAAUUACUGGGCGUAAAGCGCACGUAGGCGGACAUUUAAGUCAGGGGUGAAAUCCCGGGGCUCAACCCCGGAACUGCCUUUGAUACUGGGUGUCUGGAGUAUGGAAGAGGUAAGUGGAAUUCCGAGUGUAGAGGUGAAAUUCGUAGAUAUUCGGAGGAACACCAGUGGCGAAGGCGGCUUACUGGUCCAUUACUGACGCUGAGGUGCGAAAGCGUGGGGAGCAAACAGGAUUAGAUACCCCUGUAGUCC
rnacentral:rRNA from 1 species